rnacentral:rRNA from 1 species
CGGCAUGCUUAACACAUGCAAGUCGAACGCUAUCGCAAGAUAGAGUGGCGCACGGGUGAGUAACGCGUGGGAAUCUGCCCUUUUGUCUGGGACAACAGCUGGAAACGGCUGCUAAUACCGGAUACGCCCUUCGGGGGAAAGGUCCGCCGCAGAAGGAGGAGCCCGCGUCUGAUUAGCUUGUUGGUAGGGUAAUGGCCUACCAAGGCAACGAUCAGUAGCUGGUCUGAGAGGAUGAUCAGCCACACUGGGACUGAGACACGGCCCAGACUCCUACGGGAGGCAGCAGUGGGGAAUAUUGGACAAUGGGGGCAACCCUGAUCCAGCAAUGCCGCGUGUGUGAUGAAGGCCUUAGGGUUGUAAAGCACUUUCACUGGUGAAGAUGAUGACGGUAACCAGAGAAGAAGCCCCGGCUAACUUCGUGCCAGCAGCCGCGGUAAUACGAAGGGGGCGAGCGUCGUUCGGAAUUACUGCGCGUAAAGGGAGCGC